AUACGGAGGGUGCAAGCGUUACUCGGAAUCACUGGGCAUAAAGCGCGCGCAGGCGGGCUGAUAAGUUGGAUGUGAAAGCCUACGGCUCAACCGUAGAACUGCAUCCAAAACUGUCAGUCUAGAGUGUGGGAGAGGAAGAUGGAAUUAGUUGUGUAGGGGUAAAAUCCGUAGAGAUAACUAGGAAUACCAAAAGCGAAGGCAAUCUUCUGGAACACUACUGACGCUGAGGCGCGAAGGCGUGGGGAGCAAACAGGAUUAGAAACCCCGGUAGUCC
rnacentral:rRNA from 1 species